UACGUAGGUGGCAAGCGUUGUCCGGAUUUAUUGGGUUUAAAGGGUGCGUAGGUGGUCAAUUAAGUCAGUGCUGAAAUAUCCCGGCUUAACCGGGAGGGUGGCAUUGAUACUGAUUGACUUGAGUGGAGUUGAGGUAGGCGGAAUUGACGGUGUAGCGGUGAAAUGCUUAGAUAUCGUCAAGAACACCGAUAGCGAAGGCAGCUUACCAAGCUCAAACUGACACUGAUGCACGAAAGUGUGGGGAUCAAACAGG
rnacentral:rRNA from 1 species